rnacentral:lncRNA from 1 species
UGGAAAUUAAGAGCUCUUUGAUGUGGAAAAAUGGGUAAACUAACUGACCCAGGAUGAGUUCAAACAAAUCCAAAUGACUCUUUUAAUUAAACAAAAUAUGUAUAUAUAUAUAUGAGGCAGAUGAGGAGAAGAAAGCUGCCGGGCUUGUUCACCCCCAUCUCAAAUGGAAAUUCAGUUACAGAUAUAUUAUGUACGUUUUAUAUUAUUUAAAAAAAGCAAAAAAAAAAAAAAAACUUAAAUUAAUUAACAUAAAAUUAUAAUAUUUUUGUUAAUCCCUUCCCCCAAAAACGUUGGGUUCAUUUGUAUAUCUAAUAUAAAAAUGUAUUUCAUAUAACGUAUUAUGCAUUUUAUAAUAAGACAAAAGUAAAAAAAAAUAUAGUUAUAUAAUAACCCCCCUCUCCCCCCAUCACAGGUCACACUCAACAUUAUUUUCUUCCUAGUAUUGUAUGUAGUAGGUAUUGUACAAAAAGACAGCAAUUCGCUCCAAUUCUCUUGCAGCCAGAGGAGCUUCAUGUGUUUUUGUCACUCAAUAACCUAUCAGAACCGUACUACUGAGAGUGUGUAAAUAAUAUUAUAUACUACUAGCAAAAAAGGGGGUCUCUCCAUCAUGUAUAUAUAUAUAUAUAUAUAUUUAUUUAUUUUUCUACACAAAAAUCGACUAAGAAUUCAAACUCUCUCUUUCUGGGAGUCUUCAAAGUGGGGAGCAAAAAAAAAAAAAAAGCAUACAAGAAUAAAAAUAAAAACAUUUUCCGGCAAAAAGAAAAAAGAUUCCCUCCUCUUUUUUUUAUCGGGCAGGUUGCGGCUGCUCCUUUCCUUCAUUGAUGCUUUCUAACGGGCGUGGCUUAGAAAGGGAGGAGAUUAAAUAAAUUUGCCGAUUUUUUUUUCCUUCUCUUUCCCUCCUUUUCAUCCCACAUGCCUAUCCUGUUCCCCCUCGUGGCCUUGCGUUCUUCAUUACCUACCUAUAAGGUGCUAAAAAUAUGAAGGGGGCCUGAUCACCCCCCUCCUCUUCUUGAUUGGGGUGAUAUCCCCAAUCAUAAGUACAUAAAUAUGAUCAAUUAUGAUGAGAUGGAAGAAACGGUCCUCUUUGCGAUUUUUGUUUCUUGAGACGAAGGCGUGCGUGCGCGCAUAUUUUGCCGGCUGUGUUUUUGAUUUCGGCCGUGGUGCGUUUUUUUUCCUUUUCUUUUUUUUCAAAUUGAAGUUAAAGUCAUUAAAGAUAUGUGGCAGUAUAUUCCUAGAGUCGUUUCUGAAGAAAUCAACAUAUUCAUACUUUUUUUGUCUUUUUUUGUACACUGCAUUCAAAUCAUUAUUAAGCGUCUACCUAUCACUACUACUGAAUAUAAUAAUUAAACAUCAACAACGACUACUUUUUUUUGCUUCUUUAGUUAUCUAAAGUGAGUUUGUGAUCUCUUUUUACAUCGUGAGUCGUCAGUCUGCUUAGCUUAGGUAUGGAUGUAAGCUAUGGAUCACCAUAUUCCCCACCACCACUCACUAGAUAAAAAUAGACGUCCAUUGGCCGAAAAAAAGACAUUGUUCAAUUGAUCACACUGGGAAGAUCUGAAUGUAUUUGAAACAUGUAAAAUAAUGGCGAAAAAGUAGUAUCUUUAAUAUAACCCAUGAUUACAGAGCAAAUUCGUACUAUUUUGAUUUCGGCGGUGGCAAGAUAUGGAGCGUUCGAGUUGUCUAUCCCUAGGGGGAUCGAAUGUACUUGAGACUGGGCCUCUGAUAUCAUUCAUCAAACGCAUCAAUCCAUUUUUGGUUUUUGCAGAGGAUACUUUUUAGAAAGAACAAAAAAAAAACACGAACUAUUUAUUAGUUUAGGAGCAAAUUUGCUAGGCCUUGUAUGUAGGCCUUGAUCUGGGAAGAAAUUUUAAUCUAAAAUGUUUAAUUAUAUUUUUGUAAAUGCAUCUUAACCAGAACAUUUUAAAUCAUUCUAAUUUUUAUAAAUUAUUUGCUGUUUAAACAAAGGUUAUAAAAAAAAUUAGUAUUUUGAACUAACACAAUAAAUUUUGUAGAGAAUUAUCCAAAUAAUUCUAUUUAAUUUAGUCUAAAAUUGCGUUGAAUGUAUAAUUUACAGUCUGGAAUAAUGCAUUCAAGUGUAAUCAUAACUGCUCUGUACAUCUGAUCACAAUAGGAGUUAAUUAAAUAUAUUUUGCUUUUAUAUAAACUUAUUCAUUAUUAUUUUAUUUAAAAAAAAAAGUGGAUUGUUAAUAUUAUUAUAAAAAUGUAAUACUAAGGAAAUAAGACAAUCAAUAUAUAUUUUAACUUUUUUUAAAUUUAAAUCAAUCAAUUUUUAUUACUUUACUACCUUACAAUUUACGUAGAGUCUAAUCUGGAUCAAAACAAUUUUUGAUCAAAAAAAAAUUGGGAUUACAUCCACUAUUCAAAAACCAAUUUAUUUACUUUAUAAAGAACAAAAUAUUAUAUUCAAAUAAGAUAAACUUUUUGAAAGUUACAAAAGUUUUAAGGGAAUCCUUAUUUUUUUUAAUGUGGUCUAAUUUAUGACAGAGGUUGGGCGAUUAUAAAACUAUGAAGUACUUAAUUCAGACUCGUGGUACUCCAACCAUUAAGAAAUAUUAUAGACACAACUGUUUGUUUGGUGCUCUAAGUGAUCACCUAGUUUGCUGUGUUUGAGACAUUUACAUUAAAAGUUCUUCUUGAUAAAAAUUUACACUUUUAGUUGCGAUAUAUUCGCGCUAAACACUUCACAAACUUGAAAAUAACUUUCAUUUUUUUAUAAGUAAAUAUGUAAUUAUUUUUUUUUUUUUUGUUUACAUUUGAUAAACAAUGCCAUUGUAUAAUAAUCACGUAAACCCGUUGAUAAAUGAAUGCAAAUUUGAAGUUGAUAUUUAAGAGUUUCAGGAAAAUAUUUUUUGAAAAAAAAAAAAAAAUUGAAAAACUGUUUGUUCAAAUAUGUACGAAAAUCCCGCAACUAACCAAUAAAUAAUCAUUUAAAAAAAAUACAGUGAUCUUGAAAAUUCAAUUCUGCAUCUAUGCCAUGAAAGCAUUCAGCUCCAAGCCUUACGGUGCCGGUAUAAAUAUUUUAAGAAACUAUAUUAGCAUUUUAGAUACAAUUAAGCUUUACUCUACAAUAUUUUAAUGAAUAGUUGUUUGCUUUUUAUCACUCUAUUGUAGCGUUAUAUAAUAUGUUUCCAUUAUUCAAAAAUCUUUGGUUCAUGAGAAAAAAUCAUUUAAAAAUAUAAGGGUCGUCAUAGCUAUUCGCUAAAAAUUUUACUUUUUGUAAGAUUUGGAGAAAUGAAUUUGAUCCAGGUUAAUAUCAAGGAUUAAAUGGAACAGUUAAAGAAUGUUUAUGGUUUGUUCUAUAGGAUAACUUAUUAAUAUUUUAUAAUUGAGCUUUAUAAGUUCCUUUUUGUAAAACCUAAAUUUAACUUUUUAUAAAUAACUUUGUAAUCUGUGAUUACUCUAUUAAUCGAAGGGGGGAACAAAUUAAAAAAAUAAUCAUUUUGAAAUUAUACCCGUAACUAUAAAUUUUUAUUACGUAAUACUUAUAAUAAACAAAUAUUGCAAAUAUGGAUCUCAUAAUAUCACAAUUCGGCAUGAUGUAUAAAUAGAAAAAUUAUAAUUUUUUUGCCAAAAACAAAGCAAAAUAACUGAUUUUAUCGUCUAAAUAUUUUUUUUGUAAAUUGGAUUAUGAAAUCAGUAAUAAUCACACUACGAUAAGUACUGUUUUUGUACGAAUUUGACUGUUUCUUACUUGUAUAAAAUAAAAAUAGUUGCACAAUUUUGACCUAAAAUAUUGAAAACAAAGUGUUUAAAAAAUUAAUAAACCGCCAUUAAGCUUUUUCAGAGCAAUUGAAAUCCUUUUUUAGUUCUAUUUAAUUUUUCUAUUGUUUCAUUUCCUACAAAUUAUUGCUCCAAAGGCCCCAUUUUAUUGUCAAUCACUAUAAAUAUUUGUGUAUGUUAUACUAUGGAAAUCGAGUGUCAAAUUUGUAUUUUUGCAGAAUUUGAAAUUACAUAAUUUUACAAACAUAACCAUUUUCUUCACUUUUUAAAAUAUAUCAAUUUAAAAUAAUAGGUGUGUUGAUAUUUGUCGGAGUUCCUAUAACAAAUGUAUUUAUUUUAUAUGUAUAAUACGGCGUUGACUCACUUACACUGUAUUUUUUGUCAGCUGUCGAUUCUUGGGCCUCCCUUGAUCAGUGUUCUGAACGUUGAUUGGUUGAAUUAAAAUUACUUCUUUAUUAAGGUGCUGUGAACAAUUUCCAAAAGUUGUUGAAAAACAAUCCUAUUUUUGGGGAGUGUUGAACUUGAGUUUUGUUUAUUUAAAUUACUUAGAACGUAAAAAUAAUACACCACCCUAAAUGACAAUAUUAUUUAAUAAAAAAAUAUAGGUAAAUGUUUCUGACAAAGAAGACACUUUGAAAAUUCUUCUCAAAAUACGCCAUAUUUUUUUAAAAACACAAGCUAAUGACUGUAAUACCAACGUAGGUAUAAUAUAUAUUUUUAAGUUUGCUUAUGCACUAUUACCGAGUGGUACAUUCAAAACAGAAGACUUUGAAUUUUAAACUUGAACACGAUAUAAUUGAUUAAUUAACAAUAGAAUUUAAACAAAAUGAAUACUAUAAAUGUUUGUCUGAGCUCUCAUAAUCAAUAAUGUAGCCGUCCUAGCGACAAAGAUGGUUUCCAGGUGGCGGCAGAAGGUCUAGAAUACACUACAGAUGUAUUCCACCCAAAAGGUGUUGUCAAGGGAAUUGGAAUCGGGGCCAAAAGUGUAAAAAAAGGAGAUUGUCCCUGGCUGUUUUCUUUUACUCCUCCAGGUCCAGUUUAUCUUUUUUUGAGAGAGUCUUUCUUCCACUCGAACAUUUCGGACUUACUGACGACGUAGACAGUGGUCUUGGAGACGCCCAACUACUUGGAGUGAAGAAUGAAAAUUCAUCGUUAUCGUUAAAGUGUACUUUUCUCCACUUGUAUGUAAAAUAAAUAAUUGUUUAUGCUUUAAUACAUUUGAAUUAAUUUU